GAUGAACGCUGGCGGCGUGCCUAAUACAUGCAAGUCGAGCGAACAGACGAGGAGCUUGCUCCUCUGCCGUUAGCGGCGGACGGGUGAGUAACACGUGGAUACCCUACCUAUAAGACUGGGAUAACUUCGGGAAACCGGAGCUAAUACCGGAUCUUAUAUUGAACCGCAUGGUUCAAUAGUGAAAGACGGUUUUGCUGUCACUUAUAGAUGGUUCCGCGCCGCAUUAGCUAGUUGGUAAGGUAACGGCUUACCAAGGCAACGAUGCGUAGCCGACCUGAGAGGGUGAUCGGCCACACUGGAACUGAGACACGGUCCAGACUCCUACGGGAGGCAGCAGUAGGGAAUCUUCCGCAAUGGGCGAAAGCCUGACGGAGCAACGCCGCGUGAGUGAUGAAGGUCUUCGGAUCGUAAAACUCUGUUAUUAGGGAAGAACAAAUGUGUAAGUAACUAUGCACGUCUUGACGGUACCUAAUCAGAAAGCCACGGCUAACUACGUG
rnacentral:rRNA from 1 species